rnacentral:rRNA from 1 species
GGUAGCACAGAGAGCUUGCUCUCGGGUGACGAGUGGCGGACGGGUGAGUAAUGUCUGGGAAACUGCCUGAUGGUGGGGGAUAACUACUGGAAACGGUAGCUAAUACCGCAUAAUGUCGCAAGACCAAAGAGGGGGACCUUCGGGCCUCUUACCAUCAGAUGUGCCCAGAUGGGAUUAGCUAGUAGGUGGGGUAACGGCUCACCUAGGCGACGAUCCCUAGCUGGUCUGAGAGGAUGACCAGCCACACUGGAACUGAGACACGGUCCAGACUCCUACGGGAGGCAGCAGUGGGGAAUAUUGCACAAUGGGCGCAAGCCUGAUGCAGCCAUGCCGCGUGUAUGAAGAAGGCCUUCGGGUUGUAAAGUACUUUCAGCGGGGAGGAAGGGAAUGUGGUUAAUAACCAUAUUCAUUGACGUUACCCGCAGAAGAAGCACCGGCUAACUCCGUGCCAGCAGCCGCGGUAAUACGGAGGGUGCAAGCGUUAAUCGGAAUUACUGGGCGUAAAGCGCACGCAGGCGGUCUGUCAAGUCGGAUGUGAAAUCCCCGGGCUCAACCUGGGAACUGCAUUCGAAACUGGCAGGCUAGAGUCUUGUAGAGGGGGGUAGAAUUCCAGGUGUAGCGGUGAAAUGCGUAGAGAUCUGGAGGAAUACCGGUGGCGAAGGCGGCCCCCUGGACAAAGACUGACGCUCAGGUGCGAAAGCGUGGGGAGCAAACAGGAUUAGAUACCCUGGUAGUCCACGCUGUAAACGAUGUCGACUUGGAGGUUGUGCCCUUGAGGCGUGGCUUCCGGAGCUAACGCGUUAAGUCGACCGCCUGGGGAGUACGGCCGCAAGGUUAAAACUCAAAUGAAUUGACGGGGGCCCGCACAAGCGGUGGAGCAUGUGGUUUAAUUCGAUGCAACGCGAAGAACCUUACCUACUCUUGACAUCCACAGAAUCUGGCAGAGAUGCCAGAGUGCCUUCGGGAACUCUGAGACAGGUGCUGCAUGGCUGUCGUCAGCUCGUGUUGUGAAAUGUUGGGUUAAGUCCCGCAACGAGCGCAACCCUUAUCCUUUGUUGCCAGCGGUCCGGCCGGGAACA